UCUCAAACUUACUGAUGGUUGAGCGAAC
rnacentral:sRNA from 1 species